ACAUGCUGUUCCUCCUGCAUGUUUCUUUUUCCUCUACCUUCAUCACAUAUUUGUUGAUACAGAUAACAGAAAAUGUCAUCAUGGUCUAAGUUAAUUACUGAGAUGACGAAUUAGGGUCAUUUCACCUCUAAACUUUGAGCAACAAGUUGUAAUCCCAUUUUAACAACAGACUUUAACCUUUGUUGCGUGUCUUGGGGCAUGAAGCCCUGAUAAAGUUCUGUAAACCUGGUCCAGGUAAGGACCUUUGUCUUUUCUCUUGGUCCAUCAGAGAGGUCAGAGGUCACUAUCGGCUGUAGGACGUCAUUACUGGUGCUGAUUCCAAACUUGUACAGAGGUUACUGUUACACCGCCUUCACAGAGGGUCAAGUGGUCCUUCUGCGGUUUCACCUCCGUGCAUUUUGACACUCAUUCCUCUCCAUGUAAGGUUUGGAGUUUCAGGAUUUGUUUCACCUACAUCUUUGCUGUCGCGGCAGUCCCCGCAGAUGCAUCCCAAGCAGCCGUUGACCACCUGGAUGCCGCAGAGCACCAGCUGCACCACUCCCAUGGCCAGCAGUAUGGAGAACAGAACGACGUGCCACAUCACUGCGUUGGCAGGGUAAUCGCAG